rnacentral:rRNA from 1 species
UACGGAGGAGGCAAGCGUUAUCCGGAAUUAUUGGGCGUAAAGCGUCCGCAGGCGGCCCUUCAAGUCUGUCGUCAAAGACCGGGGCUUAACUUCGGAAAGGCAGUGGAAACUGAACAGCUAGAGUAUGGUAGGGGCAGAGGGAAUUCCUGGUGUAGCGGUGAAAUGCGUAGAGAUCAGGAAGAACAUCGGUGGCGAAGGCGCUCUGCUGGACCAUAACUGACACUCAGGGACGAAAGCUAGGGGAGCGAAUGGG